rnacentral:misc_RNA from 1 species
UUUCCGUAGGUGAACCUGCGGAAGGAUCAUUACCACACCUCAAAAGCUUGGCGAUAGCUUCGGCUAGAGCCUCGUGAGACCCGCGGAAUUUAUUCCACAAUUUUUGAUCAGAUCGACGAGCCUCCGGGCAAAGCCUUCUGGUCCAAACCAUUCAUUUUCUUCCACUUUCUCGAAAGUGCGAUUAAAAUCCAAACAUCCUGUUUACGAACUCAUUCUAAAGUCGAGGCGCAAGCUGAGACGAAAAUGAAGUAACGUUUAACACUUUCAGCAACGGAUGUCUUGGCUCCC